GAUGAACGCUGGCGGCGUGCCUAAUACAUGCAAGUCGAGCGAACAGACGAGGAGCUUGCUCCUUCGACGUUAGCGGCGGACGGGUGAGUAACACGUAGGUAACCUACCUAUAAGACUGGGAUAACUUCGGGAAACCGGAGCUAAUACCGGAUAAUAUUUCGAACCGCAUGGUUCGAUAGUGAAAGAUGGCUUUGCUAUCACUUAUAGAUGGACCUGCGCCGUAUUAGCUAGUUGGUAAGGUAACGGCUUACCAAGGCAACGAUACGUAGCCGACCUGAGAGGGUGAUCGGCCACACUGGAACUGAGACACGGUCCAGACUCAUACGGGAGGCAGCAGUAGGGAAUCUUCCGCAAUGGGCGAAAGCCUGACGGAGCAACGCCGCGUGAGUGAUGAAGGUCUUCGGAUCGUAAAACUCUGUUAUUAGGGAAGAACAAACGUGUAAGUAACUGUGCACGUCUUGACGGUACCUAAUCAGAAAGCCACGGCUAACUACGUG
rnacentral:rRNA from 1 species